rnacentral:lncRNA from 1 species
ACACACGCACCGCACACACAUACAUAUAUAUACAUACACCAUCUGCUGCUGCAGCAUGCUGCGGGCUGGCUGUGUGGCUAAGUGAUGAGCAGCAGCAGCAGCACCUGUCUGUGUCUUUAUAUUACUGCCUUUAUUAUGUGCUGUGUGCGUAUUAAAGCUUGCUAAAGGAGUGUACACCCUUAGCUUCAUCACUACAGCCCAUACUGUCCAUAUGGAGAGCCUGGGGAACAUACGGAGCGCAUAAAUUACGCAUACUGUUACAUGCCUAUUUUGGAGACCAUUUUCCUUUGUGCGUAAUCGUGGUAAUUCUGUGGGUACUUUUUAUGCUGCUCUGAGUGAGAUGGAGUAGUUUCCUGUGUUGAUUUAACGCAGAGCUGAACACAGAGGCGAGGAAGAGAAGGGAUUGCUGGGAAGAAGAAGUACAGUCGGAUUGGGAAUUUGGAGAGGGAGGUAGCUCUCUGAAAAGGAACUCUGAGAGGAACUACCUGAGAAGUAUCCUGAGCGUAUCAGUGAGUGGAGGCCUGUGUGUACACGCCCCGGAGAAGACUGCAACGUAAGACUCAACUUUCUCAACUAUUUCACUCUUUCUACUGGUGGCCCUGGUGGAGGCUUCUACAGCUGCAUCUGCUCAUGAUUCACUCAAACUGAAACUU